rnacentral:rRNA from 1 species
AACGAACGCUGGCGGCAGGCUUAACACAUGCAAGUCGAACGCCCCGCAAGGGGAGUGGCAGACGGGCGAGUAACGCGUGGGAACGUGCCCUUCGCUUCGGAAUAGCCCCGGGAAACUGGGAGUAAUAACGAAUACGCCGUAUUGGGAAAGAUUUAUCGGUGAAGGAUCGGCCCGCGUUAGAUUAGCUAGUUGGCGGUGUAAUGGACCACCAAGGCUACGAUCUAUAGCUGGUCUGAGAGGAUGAUCAGCCACACUGGGACUGAGACACGGCCCAGACUCCUACGGGAGGCAGCAGUGGGGAAUCUUGGACAAUGGGCGCAAGCCUGAUCCAGCCAUGCCGCGUGAGUGAAGAAGGCCUUAGGGUUGUAAAACUCUUUCGCCGGAGAAGAUAAUGACGGUAUCCGGAGAAGAAGCCCCGGCUAACUUCGUGCCAGCCGCCGCCCGUAAGAC